rnacentral:tRNA from 1 species
GGGGGUGUAGCUCAGUUGGGAGAGCAUCUGAUUUGCAUUCAGAAGGUCGCAGGUUCGAUCCCUGUCACCUCCA